GAAUCUAUAGCUCAGUUGGUAGAGCAUGAGACUCUUAACUACAGGGUCAUGGUUUGAGCCCCAUGUUGGGUGA